CAACACUGACAACGAGAAGCCAACUGACAUCCAAUUCUCCUCUGAAUAACAACAUCUACUGGAAUGAGAUCCUGCCAUAGUCUCCAGCAGAAGAAUGAAAUAGUGGCAGGCAAAAUAGAGCUCCACAGCAGUCGAUAUGAGUCCUGAGGCUGGCGAACCGAACGGACAAGUUGCCAUGCUGAUUUGGUGGUAAAGUCACCAUCCGAAGUAAUUUUCCAAACAAUUCGGUCCGGG
rnacentral:lncRNA from 1 species